rnacentral:pre_miRNA from 1 species
UAUUGAAAUUUCAAUCUAUUUCUGUUGUUAACAAUUGACAUGGCUGACGGAAUAUAACCAAACAAUUACAAGUGGCAUGCUUAGUGUACCUCAUUCUAAUGUAUAGGGAUCAAAUUUUAAAAUUAUAAAUAGAUGAAAUUUUUAACA